GCACAGCCUACGACAUCCUACCACAAGAAACAAGACAUUAGAGAUCAAUUUAGCGGGAUAUGCACAAUUGAAGAAGGAAAACAUCAAUUAUCUGGCGGAGGAUAAAGUUAUUUGUUGAUCACUACUUGCCUGCCACCAUUAGCGACGUGUGCUAAACUAUUCAUCAGUAAAAAGGCACAACGAAAGACGAGUUGAAAUCCUCUGGGAUAUGGCAGACACAGCAAUCCACACAAACAGAUACUAGCACACAGAGCUUGAAAGAUCAAGCUUAAGGAAUAGUUUUAACUUUUUUCUCUUCAGAUUUCAAUUUGACCAUAUUACCUCAAUAUUCUUUUACUAGACAUGUAUAAUGAAAAUCUUAACAAAAGAUAAGGAUGGAGAAGUGGAAGGAAUCACAAAUGAUAAUGGGAAGGAAAUAUGUUACAUACUGUUGCUCCG